GUAGAGUAGAGUAGAGUAGAGUAGAGUAGAGUAGAGUAGAGUAGAGUAGAGUAGAGUAGAGUAGAGUAGAGUAGAGUAGAGUAGAGUAGAGUAGAGUAGAGUAGAGUAGAGUAGAGUAGAGUAGAGUAGAGUAGAGUAGAGUAGAGUAGAGUAGAGUAGAGUAGAGUAGAGUAGAGUAGAGUAGAGUAGAGUAGAGUAGAGUAGAGUAGAGUAGAGUAGAGUAGAGUAGAGUAGAGUAGAGUAGAGUAGAGUAGAGUAGAGUAGAGUAGAGUAGAGUAGAGUAGAGUAGAGUAGAGUAGAGUAGAGUAGAGUAGAGUAGAGUAGAGUAGAGUAGAGUAGAGUAGAGUAGAGUAGAGUAGAGUAGAGUAGAGUAGAGUAGAGUAGAGUAGAGUAGAGUAGAGUAGAGUAGAGUAGAGUAGAGUAGAGUAGAGUAGAGU
rnacentral:lncRNA from 1 species